rnacentral:rRNA from 1 species
UACGAAGGGGGCUAGCGUUGCUCGGAAUUACUGGGCGUAAAGCGUGCGCAGGCGGUUCGUUAAGUCAGAUGUGAAAGCCCCGGGCUCAACCUGGGAACUGCAUUUGAAACUGGCGGGCUUGAGUAUGGCAGAGGGGGGUGGAAUUCCGCGUGUAGCAGUGAAAUGCGUAGAGAUGCGGAGGAACACCGAUGGCGAAGGCAGCCCCUGGGCCAAUACUGACGCUCAGGCACGAAAGCGUGGGGAGCAAACAGG